UAACCUGCCUUAUAGUGGGGGAUAGCCUUUCGAAAGGAAGAUUAAUACCGCAUAAGAUUGUAGUAUCGCAUGAUAUAGCAAUUAAAGGAGCAAUUCGCUAUAAGAUGGACCCGCGUCGCAUUAGCUAGUUGGUGAGGUAAUGGCUCACCAAGGCGACGAUGCGUAGCCGACCUGAGAGGGUGAUCGGCCACAUUGGGACUGAGACACGGCCCAGACUCCUACGGGAGGCAGCAUG
rnacentral:rRNA from 1 species